rnacentral:rRNA from 1 species
CCCUCGUACGAUUCCCUUGAGUUGAUCAUGGCUCGAAUCACGCUGGCGGCGUGCCUAACACAUGCAAGUCGAACGCGAAAGGGGCUUCGGCCCUGAGUAGAGUGGCAAACGGGUGAGUAACACGUGGGUGGCCUGCCUUCGAGUGGGGGAUAACGUCCCGAAAGGGACGCUAAUACCGCAUGACAUCCUGCCUUUGGAAAGGUGGAGAUCAAAGCUGGGGAUCGCAAGACCUGGCGCUUGAAGAGGGGCCCGCGCCUGAUUAGCUAGUUGGUGGGGUAAUGGCUCACCAAGGCGACGAUCAGUAUCCGGCCUGAGAGGGCGGACGGACACACUGGGACUGAGACACGGCCCAGACUCCUACGGGAGGCAGCAGUGGGGAAUUGUUCGCAAUGGGCGCAAGCCUGACGACGCAACGCCGCGUGGAGGACGAAGAUCUUCGGGUCGUAAACUCCUGUCGAGCGGGAAGAACGCUUCGCGGAUGAAUAAGCCGCGGAGGUGACGGUACCGCUAAAGGAAGCCCCGGCUAACUCCGUGCCAGCAGCCGCGGUAAUACGGGGGGGGCAAGCGUUGUUCGGAAUUACUGGGCGUAAAGGGCUCGUAGGCGGCCAACUAAGUCGGAUGUGAAAUCCCCAGGCUUAACCUGGGAACUGCAUCCGAUACUGGAUGGCUUGAAUCCGGGAGAGGGAUGCAGAAUUCCAGGUGUAGCGGUGAAAUGCGUAGAUAUCUGGAGGAAUACCGGUGGCGAAGGCNGCAUCCUGGACCGCAUUGACCC